CCGUUCCCCUCCGCCUCUCGACUCCGACUGGGAGGGGCCGCCUGCGCAACCCCCCUCCCCAGCCUCCUGCAGAACCAAGGGACCCCCAGCGAGCUGCAAAUUCUAGUCUCCAGCCUCCCGGGUAAACCGAGCACCGCGCCAGUUCGCAGCUGCUGGCCGGGCGCUCCCUAAGGAGAUCUGCGCCCUCCCGGUCCCCCGCCGCCGCCGCCCGACUGUCGGCUCCUGGGACCCGCUUUAGCUUCUCCGCUGCCCCUUCGCCUCUGCCCUCUCAGGACACCCGCCCCGUUCCGACCUCUUCUCCCCUGGUGUUGUGCACGUUCUCCCAGAUUCGAGCACCGGCUCCCGCCUCAGCCCCUCACCCCACUGCGGCAGCCUGCAACCUGACAAGUCGGUGGGGGCUGCGCAGCAGCCUGGCACGCCCCCGCCCGCUGGUGGGGCUCAUCGCAAACACCUGCCAGAGCUCGACCGCGCCGGUAGCCGGGAGUCCCAGCAUCAUGUUUGAUCCUGCCCUCGCCCCGGCGCUGCACCGAAACCUUGCCAGUGGCCUUCAAGGGACUCCAUCCAGUGCGUCCUCGCACCUCGAGUGCCCGCGCCGCCGCCUCCCAGGAUUCCCUCCCAGCCAAUGUCCCUCUGACGGUUUUCGCGCCCCUCCUUGACCCUGCUAAACUCAGCUGCCAGGGACCAUCCCCGAGUGAAGGCAGGUGCUCGCGGGGUGCCGGUCCCUGGAGCGGGUGCUGUCCAGGGUGCACGAGGCGCGUCGCCGGUGCGGUGCCCUAGUGGGCCAGAGCAAACCCAGGGCUCCGGAGCGGGGGCGUUUUCGCUAAUCGCCGAACCGCUCCCCUCCGGGUUCCCGCGGAAGGCCAGGGAAGAGCACUGGCCAGAUUGUUGUGGACUCGGGUUCCGGGGCAACGCGCAACGCGGGUCUGGACGCCAGGGAUGGGGUUGAGGCGCUCCAGAGAAGACGCCUCCGAACUCAAGUAGGUGGGCUGGGUCCCCAGGGUUCUGGGUAGACUGGGACUUGGGGGAGGAAAAAAAGAAAGCCAGAGGAAUCCUGCCAAUUCCUGCACGUGGACCCAGGGGCCAAACUCCCAGACACCCCGGGCGAUUCCCAGUUGCGAUCACCCCCCACCCCACGUACUAACUCAGAUUCGGUGUAUGGGGGUGGAAAGAAAGAGGAGUCUAAGGCAAACAGCCGGUUAUCACCCUAGGUCCUAAGGCAAAAUUUUUCAUUGUUAUAUAUUUUUAAAAAUUUGAAAUGAUAUAUUGAAUUUUUUUGUUAUUAGAAUUCAAUCAGCUUUUUCUAAAUUCUGGAAUAAAUUCUAAGUUAACUGUAGU
rnacentral:lncRNA from 1 species